rnacentral:lncRNA from 1 species
CUGAAGGCCACAUAGUCCAACUCCCCUGCAAUGAACAGGGACACCACAGCUAAAUCAGGUUUCCCAGGGCCUUAUUGAGCCUCACCUUGAAAGUCUCCAGGGACAGGGCAUCAACCACAUUGAGUAACCUGUUCCAGUGCCUCACCACCCUCACUGUAAAAGAGUUUUUCCUUAUAUCCAAACUAAAUCCACCCUCCUUGAGCUUGAAACCAUUUCCCUUUGUUCUAUUGCCACAGAUCCUGCUAAAGAGUCUUUGCCCUUCUUUCCCGUAGCUCCCCUUUAGAUACUGAAAGGCUGUUAUCAGGUCACCUCUCAGCCUUCUCUUCUCCAGGCUGCACAGCCCCAGCUCUCUCAGCCUGUACGCGUAGGAGAGGUGUUCCAUUCCCUGAAUCAUUUUUGUGCCCCUUCUCUGGAUGCACUCCUAGAAGUCUAUGCCUGUCAAGUCUCCUGUACUGAGGACUCCACAGCUGCAUGCAGUACUCCAGGCACCCCUCACCUCAAACUAAGAAAGAAAGGUGCUGCUGAGUCAGUUGGAGACUGAGCCCCAUCAAGG